UAAUUCGAUUCUUUAGAGUAUU
rnacentral:miRNA from 1 species